UCGAACGAAGCUCCCCGAUUUGAGUUUCGGACAAGAUGAAGGGAUGACUUAGUGGCGGACGGGUGAGUAAUGCGUGAGCAACCUGCCCUUCAGUGGGGGACAACAGUUGGAAACGACUGCUAAUACCGCAUAAAGUAUUCGGAAGGCAUCUUUUGGAUACCAAAGAUUUUUAUCGCUGAAGGAUGGGCUCACGUCUGAUUAGCUAGUUGGUGAGGUAAUGGCUCACCAAGGCUGCGAUCAGUAGCCGGACUGAGAGGUUGACCGGCCACAUUGGGACUGAGAUACGGCCCAGACUCCUACGGGAGGCAGCAGUGGGGAAUAUUGGGCAAUGGGCGCAAGCCUGAACCCCAGCAACGCCGCGUGAAGGAAGAAGGCUUUCGGGUUGUAAACUUCUUUUAGCAGGGACGAAACAAAUGACGGUACCUGCAGAAUAAGCACCGGCUAACUACGUGCCAGCAGCAGC
rnacentral:rRNA from 1 species